rnacentral:rRNA from 1 species
UACAGAGGUCUCAAGCGUUGUUCGGAUUCAUUGGGCGUAAAGGGUGCGUAGGUUGGCGCCAUAGGUCAGGUGUGAAAUCGUCGGGGCUUAACUCCGAAACUGCAUUUGAUACUGGCGUGCUUGAGGACUGGAGAGGAGACUGGAAUUCAUGGUGUAGCAGUGAAAAUGCGUAGAGAUCAUGAGGAAGACCAGUGGCGAAGGCGGGUCUCUGGACAGUUCCUGACACUGAGGCACGAAGGCCAGGGGAGCAAACGGG